AGGAUGUUAAGUAGGCUAAUGGAACAUUUGAAAUCGGCCUAUAAAACAAUGAACACACCUUAGCCUUUUUAUUUAACUAUUUGUACUCUUUAUUUACUCUUCAAUGUCCUCUGACGCCUGAUUAUUUUGUCGUCCAGUCCCUCCUGUCCGGUCUGGCGCAUAGCGCAGCCACUUUUGCACAGCUUGGGAAAAAUUGAAUUGGGUGACGGCAUCUGCCCCCAUCUGCUGAGUAAGCGCAUCUAAAACAAAAAAAUAAAAUCACAAUGCAAAUCAAUUAGCAUUUAAGUUAAACAGAACACAUAUUUGACCACUUGGAACAACAGUAACCUCUUAUAGGCCUAUGAUUUUUCAAUGAUUGGAUAGCCUAAGUAGGCUAGCCUAUGUUUCCCCUACAUUCAAAGCACUUUUCAAAACUGCCCAACAUGUUCAUGGAUGUAUUUGAAUUAAAGAGAGGGAAAUUAUCUUGCAACAUCUUUCAUAAGGAAAAUUUAAGAGGCCAAGUGAAAUGCAUGUUUAUUAUUUUAUUAGUUCAGAACUAAUUGUUAACUGAACAAAUUUAAAACAAAUAUAUUAUAACUAAUUAAAUAUAGUAAAUGUAUUGAAUAGAGUUACCAUAGACAAAAUAUGAAUAUCAUUAUAAUUAAAUAUUCAUUUCUGCUUAAGUUAACUGGGUGCACGGAGGGAUAGCAAGUGCUCGAGCGCAUGUUUAGGCCUAGGCUACGUCUCUCUUUAUGUUUUUAAGUCUAUGUUCUCUGCAGUCUACUGCAAAAACAGGCAAAAAUACUAAUAAUAAAUAAGCGAGCCUAUGUCUUUAAAAUUAACGAGGCACUUUAAUUAUUUAUUAUAAACUGUUUUCAUCUGCACUGUAAAGUUGAUGCGCCUUUAAUAAAGAGAGGAAUGCAUCUUUCUUAGUUUACAUAAUCAGAUGAUAGCCUAUUUGCUUAUGCUUUUUUUUUUUAAGUGGACAUGUACAUGCUUUAGGCCUAUAUAGCUAUAUUUCCCAUGUAGGCUAUGUUAUGAUAGUGCCUAUACGCUGUUUCUGUUUAUUCACGGGGCGCGCCCUCGUUGUUUUAUUUCAUUUAACCAUUAAACUUAAUUUUGCGCUCUGCACAUACAUACCGGUACGCAAGCCCCGCUCUCCUUAGUUACUGUUGCUACACCACGAUUGGCCAGUGACUGUUUUUGGGCGUGGCUUAGCGGAGGGUCAUUCGUUUCACGUGCGACCAGUUUGAAAACGAAAAAGGCAGCUGCUGACUGAGGCAAUAAAGAGGAUGCAGAAAAGUUGCCGCGUUUUUCAAUGCGUUUAAAACGACAAACAAGCCAAAAUAAUUUGGUGUGCAGUUUUUUGUGCAUUUGCAUCUCGAGUUCAACCAUUGCAUUCGGGUUUUGACAAGGUUUUGGGCUGGAAAACCUUGCUGGCAUCUGGCAACCAUUCCGGAUCGACAUCUGACAUUUCUUCACGACAAACCUUUCUGGCUACUAACCAAAGGUAAGUUACUGUUAUACAAAUGAUAUUGCUAACUCACUUGGACUGUAAGUUACCUGUGGUCUAGUUCCAAAUUUCUCUAAAUAAUAAUAAUACAAACUCAAAUGGUCAGCCAGGCAACGCAUGCUCCAAUUCCUGUCAGCACAUAGCACGUUGCCUAACGUUACCUCACCAUAGGGCAGCUGUUAACAUAAUGCUGCCUUAUCGCUGGGUGGGUGGUAAUUUAUAUGUUAUUAUAAGCCUACCUUUGGGAUCAAUAUAGUAUAUGCUACACAUUAUUAACACGUGCACGCACAAUUAGCCUAAUGUUAUUCAUGAACUUGAUAAAUGUUGCAGAUAUGUUUUACUAUUAUUUUUGUACAAAUAGAGAAUUUGUGAAUACAAAUGUUUUCUUUUGUAUUAGUGUAUCAUUAUUUGCGCAUGCAACAAGUAAGAUGUGAAUGUGUAGAUCUACCUAUUCCAGCUAGUGUGAGCCGACCCUGGGGUGCGUUUCCUGAAAGCAUUGUUAGCCAACUAUGGUCGCAAGUUCUGUCAUUAUCAGCCUAGUUCAACAAUUCGGUGUUUCCUGAAACCAUCGUUCUAAUGAACAUUCGCUAACAGCAUCGCAAACUUGUGUGGAACUGAAGAAAGACCGGCAUUACCAUCUUGGAUGGCAUUGUAAUUUAUCAGGAAAUUUUCAUUUUGAGGUGAACUAAUCCUUUUAACAAUUAUAAAACACUGUUACUGAAGUCACUGAAUGCGGAGGUUUCUAUUGGAUUAUUGUGUUAACUUUGUGCUAAGAUUCUUGAUGCUGCAUGGGGUGAGUUUGGGUGUGCAUUAUGCCCUUUUUGGCUUGAGGUAUAAGAUUGAUAAUAUAAUGGUGAUUGAAAAUGGAACAGGACUUACCAAACAUAGAUCGGCAGAGUGCCAACUCUUUAAACGGACGUUUUUGUUUUGUAGGCUCCUUGUUCUUUUUUCCAGCCCAGUUCAGUCCAGAAGCCAGUUCAUUUGACAACAGGGCCUCCAUAGUGCGGAGGGGCAGCUCCAAGGGCUCCGCCAGUGGCCGUCCCACAGACUCCGACUGUCCACACUUGCAGGACUGGCGGAAUUGCCUGAACUCCUCUCGCAGGUCCUUCACCUCCUUGGACAACUCUGUCACUGCACAUACCUUCAGGAGAUGGCCUCUGGAGUAAAUUCAUGGGGGAGAACGCCAAUUCAUCUCCAGGGAACAAUGCUGGGACAUUGGGGCCAUGGUGGCUCUCCUCCUCAGACUGGAUGUCAGUGGUGUCACAGUCUUUAUUCACAUAUCUGUCCAGGCUCCUCACUGCCUCAUCAUGGCUAUCUACAAGCAUAAUCAGUCAAGUACUGUCGGAGUCAGGAGAAAUACUAGUGCUUCCCAAUAAAUUGUGGAAAAGUUCAUUUAUUUCAGGAAUUCAACUUAAAAUGUUAAACUAAUAUAUUAUAUAGACUCAUUGCAUGCCAAGUGACAUAUUUCAAGCAUAUUUCAGAUUCUUAUACCAGAACACCCACCACGAGUUAUGAGGAGCCGGAUAGGUUGAUAUGUGUGCCAUCCCUGUCCAGGCUGUUCUCUGUUCAGGAUGGCUGCAUUCAGCCUAAUAGAGUCCUUAGGAGGGUAUGGGGGCCAGAAGACUUUAUCCCCUUCCACCCAUGUGUUUGGCACAGUUUCUGUUGCACCAUUGCUGAACUGCACAACGCACCAUCUGGACAUUUUUUAAUUUUUUCAAAGACUCUAAAAAAAAAGAAAUGUACUUAUAAACUGAUUUGGACAUUUUAAUUGGUGUGAAUGAUGGGAAUGGCAAUCAACUGUGUUUUGUCAGGAUAAAGUAUGUACUUUUUGCCAAUGUGCUGAAGCCUCGUCACACCGACAUACUUGCACAACCCCCAAACUGUAUAUACCCCAAUGUUUGCCGAAGGAAAGGGAUACUGGCCAUAGGACUCUUUUUUGGUAAACUUUCGAAAAAUUAUGUAAGUCUCCUGACCUACCUUGACAAUGUUUUCAACAAUGGCAAUGUCAUCUACAAUUUGAAAACAAUUAUCCCCAGAACAAGAUGAUAAUGUGUACUUUUCUGUGACAAGCUUACGGUACUGGUCUCCACAACUUAAUGAAGAGAUUAAUGGACCAUCAUAAUGAGGAUGCAUGAAUUUUUGUCCUUUCUUCACUGUGUCCAAGGUCGGAUCAGGUGAUUCUGAGAGCCUUUUAACUACUUGCUGUAAAGGCAAGUGAGGCUUGCGCAAUAGGUGUUUCAGUUGCGCUAAAUAAUUCUCGUAAGGAAAUGCAGAUAUGUUGUCUAAGGGACCAAACAGACGGUAUUCUGAUGCCAAGUGUGUUAGAUGAUGGACAUUGUAGGUGAUUUCACCUUUCCCAUAUAGCUGCCCAAAGUGAGUUACGAAUGAAGUUAACAAUCUCUGAGCGCAAUCUAUCAUUUCCUCUGAUGUUCCAGGAGACACCAGCAGAUGCAUGGCCACAGAAAGUAACAUAAAGUUUUCAUAAAUUUCAAGGGCAAUGGUAUUUUUCAGGACUACUGGGCCAGCAUAAAGCAUGAAAUAUCGAAGCUCUGUAGCCUUCCACCGAUCUAUUUCAGAGAGGUGCCUGGGUUUCCGACUGAACUCAGAAGGAGUGUAGGGUCUUAAGUCCCUUCAAUUUAACGGAAAUCUCUUCAAUUGAUUUACUUGACAACCUAGUUGCCAGUGAUUUGCCCCUCAUCCAAAUAUAUAGGAACUUCCUGGUUACCCCAAGACAGCACAAGUGCAUGUAAUCUAAUGGGAACAUUGUCACCAUUUUGAUCAUACUAGCUAGUGGGGAUAGUGUUUGGUUUUGGUGGUGUUCAUCAUCGGUCAUGGAGUUGAAGUCUGUGUCUGUCCUCAAUCUAACAUUUGUUUCUGGAUAUGUCAUUUUGUUGUGACAUUCACCCACUUGAAAACACUUGUCGCAGCCUGAAUAACCAUUGUGGCUUUUUAUAUUUUUAAUAAAAGCUCAUGCUGGGGCAUCGCAUAUAAAUGAGCACACUUCUGCCAUAAUCUGCUGCCUAUUGUGAACAAUGCCAUUUUUUAGAAUGCCACUCAGGUCCUCAAUAAAUGGACCUAAGAACUCAAAGACACUCUUUGGUUUGGUAAAGCCACAGAAAAGGCCGACAAGGAAUGGCGAUUUUCUGUAAUCAACAUUAAUGGUAGCUAGAAUGGGCCAGAACUGAGUUCUGCUCCUUCGGAAAAGCCGUAAACCAUCUAUACUGAACUGCAGCUUAAUUGUCGUCAAAUUGGCAGGAAGGAUCAAAGAUUUCAGUUUUGACAUCAAUCCAGUAGCUAGGCCAAAGUGAUAAUAGUGAUAAUGCUGGCAGAAGCAGUGAUAAGUUUAUCACAACAUCUUAACCAUCUAUGCUGGCCUAGUUAACCUGAAGAGUCCACUGAUCAGAGUGCCUCGUGAGGUUUAGAGCCUUGCCAACACCUAGUCAUCUUGUUCAUUAAAUACAGAUAAACAAAUACUGCAUUUUAUUUUCUUUUAAUAUAUGAAUAUUUUCAUUGUGAUGUAAUUGUGUGGGCUGCUUUUGUAUUUUACUUUUUAAUACCUGUUAGGAAUAAAAUUGACUUGAUAUUUAAUUUCUGUGUAUUUCCUGUAGACACAGAGGCACAUCAAUCUGACAUGGGCUUGUGUGAAAAAGAUUAACCUUAACAUUAACAUUAAAACAAUUAUUAAAAAUAUCCUGAACGUUCUUUUAACAUUAAUUUGGUUAUUAACUGUUGACAUUAUUAGAUUAUAAAAUGUAUUUAUAAACAAUUAUCUUGUGCAAUUAUAACAAAAUUAGCCCAAUAUAUUAACACAUACACUGAGCAAACAUGUACUUUUGUUUUUAGAUAUACAAAACGGUCAUGUUUGUAUGACAUGACACAACCGGCUUUGUUGCUGUCAGAUACUGAACUGCCUCGGAGGCUUUCAGACUGUCCAUUGCUCGAUUGCACGAAGUAUGAGCAAAUCUCGCUGUACGUAAUGCUGGGCCACGAUGUCAUGUUAUCCUCCCAGUUCUGCACUGGAUUGGGGUGCGGGAUAGUAACGCCAUCUCAGUCAAAUACGUAGAUCCGUGUUCCCAAACUAGCAUCGACAUCGCUGUUUACACCGGCAGACGCUGGGAAAACCACCGGCAGAAGUGAAAUGCAUUUCUGUAGAGGAAUGGCGCCCACGAAACGGCUCGUAAACUUGUCUAUAAAACGACAAACAGGAGUUACAAAACUGUAUCCCACGCAUAUGCAGCCCUGCUCGAGGAUUUUUAAUAUUUUGGAUUUGUAUUACGACGAGAUGGUUGGCUUUUCCAGUUACAACUCGAGACAGUUCUGCAUUGAAUAAUAAGGUAAGUCAUGUAUUUUGUGUAAUUCUGGCCCGCCGCGGUCACUUCUGUGGGGUAACGUUAACGUUAGAGCUCAAACAUGCACGACAUGACUUCGUGCCCUUGGUGGUGGCUACGUAGUGCUAAUCAGCCAUGAUUUCUCAAAGGUUUGAGCGCACGGCGCCGCCAACAGGCUAGCUUGAUGGACGUUACCGUUAGCGCUAGAUGGAGCAUACUGUUAUUAUAGUGUUUUCCGGCGGGCAGAAGAAAUAGCGGUGACUGUAAAAUAGAUUUCCCGACACUAUUAGCAAUGGGUACCGAGUGACGUGUAUUUUGAGCUAGCUAUAAA
ensembl:lncRNA